GAUCAUGGCUCAGGAUGAACGCUGGCGGCGUGCUUAACACAUGCAAGUCGAACGGACUUAUAUUGAAACCUAGUGAUAUAUAAGUUAGUGGCGGACGGGUGAGUAACGCGUGGAUAACCUGCCAUAUACAGGGGGAUAACACUUAGAAAUAGGUGCUAAUACCGCAUAAGCGCACAGCUUCGCAUGAAGCAGUGUGAAAAACUCCGGUGGUAUAUGAUGGAUCCGCGUCUGAUUAGCUAGUUGGCGGGGUAACGGCCCACCAAGGCGACGAUCAGUAGCCGGCCUGAGAGGGUGAACGGCCACAUUGGGACUGAGACACGGCCCAAACUCCUACGGGAGGCAGCAGUGGGGAAUAUUGCACAAUGGGGGAAACCCUGAUGCAGCGACGCCGCGUGAGUGAAGAAGUAUUUCGGUACGUAAAGCUCUAUCAGCAGGGAAGAAAAUGACGGUACCUGACUAAGAAGCCCCGGCUAACUACGUG
rnacentral:rRNA from 1 species